rnacentral:misc_RNA from 1 species
GAUGAAGAACGUAGCGAAAUGCGAUAAGUAAUGUGAAUUGCAGAAUUCAGUGAAUCAUCGAAUCUUUGAACGCACAUUGCGCCCGUCAGUAUUCUGGCGGGCAUGCCUGUUCGAGCGUCAUUACGCCCCUCAAGUCCCCUGUGGACUUGGUGUUGGGGAUCGGCGAGGCUGGUUUUCCAGCACAGCCGUCCCUUAAAUUAAUUGGCGGUCUCGCCGUGGCCCUCCUCUGCGCAGUAGUAAAACACUCGCAACAGGAGCCCGGCGCGGUCCACUGCCGUAAAACCCCCCAACUUUUUAUAGUUGACCUCGAAUCAGGUAGGACUACCUGCUGAACUUAAGCAUAUCAAUAGCGGAGGA